rnacentral:rRNA from 1 species
UACGGGAGGCAGCAGUGGGGAAUAUUGCACAAUGGGCGAAAGCCUGAUGCAGCUAUGCCGCGUGUAUGAAGAAGGCCUUAGGGUUGUAAAGUACUUUCAUCGGGGAGGAAAAACAAAACUAAUAAUUUUAUUUCUUGACGUUACCCGAAAAAGAAGCACCGGCUAACUCCGUGCCAGCAGCCGCGGUAAUACGGAGGGUGCUAGCGUUAAUCAGAAUUACUGGGCGUAAAGAGCACGUAGGUGGUUUUUUUAAAGUCAGAUGUGAAAUCCCUGGGCUUAACCUAGGAACUGCAUUUUGAAACUGAAAUACUAGAGUAUCGUAGAGGGAGGUAGAAUUCUAGGUGUAGCGGUGAAAUGCGUAGAUAUCUGGAGGAAUACCUGUGGCGAAAGCGGCCUCCUAAACGAAUACUGACACUGAGGUGCGAAAAGCGUGGGGAGCAAAACAGGGAUUAGAUACC